rnacentral:piRNA from 1 species
UGGCCUUUCACCGGGUUGCUGGUUUCU